rnacentral:rRNA from 1 species
ACACGACUCUCGGCAACGGAUAUCUCGGCUCUCGCAUCGAUGAAGAACGUAGCGAAAUGCGAUACCUGGUGUGAAUUGCAGAAUCCCGUGAACCAUCGAGUAUUUGAACGCAAGUUGCGCCCGAGGCCACCUGGCCGAGGGCACGCCUGCCUGGGCGUCACGC